GUCGAGCGACUGAUCGGAGCUUGCUCGUUUGACGUUAGCGGCGAGGAGGUGAGUAACUGUUGGGUAACGUACCUGGAGACUGGGAGACUGGGGUGAACCGGAACUAAUACCGGAUAACAUUUGGAACCGCAUGGUUCUAAAGUGAAAGAUGGUUUUGCUAUCACUUAUAGAUGGACCCGCGCCGUAUUAGCUAGUUGGUAAGGUAACGGCUUACCAAGGCGACGAUACGUAGCCGACCUGAGAGGGUGAUCGGCCACACUGGAACUGACACACGGUCCAGACUCCUACGGGAGGCAGCAGUAGGGAAUCUUCCGCAAUGGGCGAAAGCCUGACGGAGCAACGCCGCGUGACUGAUGAAGGGUUUCGGCUCGUAAAACUCUGUUAUUAGGGAAGAACAAAUGUGUAAGUAACUGUGCACGUCUUGACGGUACCUGAUCAGAAAGCCACGGCUAACUACGUGCCAGCAGCCGCGGUAAUACGUAGGUGGCCAGCGUUAUCCGGAAUUAUUGGGCGUUAAGCGCGCGUAGGCGGGUUCUUAAGUCUGAUGUGAAAGCCCACGGCUCACCCCUGGAGGGUCAUUGGAGACUGUUAAACUUGAGUGCACAAGAGGACAGUGGAAUUCCAUGUGUAUCGGUGAAAUGCGCAGAGAUAUGGAGGAACACCAGAGGCGAACGCGACUUUCUGGGCUGUAACUGACGCUGAUGUGCGAAAGCGUGUGGAUCAAUGAGGAUUACAUACCCUGGUAGUCCCCGCCGUUAACAUCAGGUGCUAAAUGUUACGGGGUGUCCGCCCCUUUUUGCUCGCUCCAACCUCUUU
rnacentral:rRNA from 1 species